CCUACGGGAGGCAGCAGUAGGGAAUAUUGGUAAUGGGCGAAAGCCUGAACCAGCAACGCCGCGUGUGCGAUGAAGGCCUUCGGGUUGCAAAGCACUUUUUAAGAGGAUGAGGAAGGACAGUACUCUUAGAAUAAGCCUCGGCUAACUACGUGCCAGCAGCCGCGGUAACACGUAGGAGGCAAGCGUUAUUCGGAUUUACUGGGCGUAAAGCGCGUGCAGGCGGUUUGGUAAGUUGGAUGUGAAAGCUCCUGGCCUAACUGGGAGAGGUCGUUCAAUACUACCAGACUAGAGGAUGGGAGAGGGAGGUGGAAUUCCGGGUGUAGUGGUGAAAUGCGUAGAUAUCCGGAGGAACACCAGUGGCGAAAGCGGCCUCCUGGCCCAUUUCUGACGCUCAGACGCGAAAGCUAGGGUAGCAAACGGGAUUAGAGACCCCGGUAGUCCUAGCUGUAAACGAUGUGGACUUGGCGUCGGCGGGUUUAAAUCCGUCGGUGCCGAAGCUAACGCGAUAAGUUCACCGCCUGGGGACUACNGCCGCAAGGUUAAAACUCAAAGGAAUUGACGGGACCCCGCACAAGCAGCGGAGCGUGUGGUUUAAUUCGAUGCUACACGAAGAANCUUACCAGGGUUUGACAUACAAGUGGC
rnacentral:rRNA from 1 species